UUCUCAUCUGUGCUGUGGAGGAAGCUGCUUCAGAAGUGAAGGAGAAGAAGAAGCGUCAGGCAAGGAAGACAAGAGCCCAGCCGGAGAAGCAGAGCUGAGCUCUGAGAAAGCUGAGAAGGCAGCCCUGAGCUGGGGCUGUGCCGGCAGCUGCUGGCCGCUCACUCUGUCUCCUCCCUCUGCAGCUUCUCAGACAGUGGCUGGAGGAGUGGAGAAAUCCUGGCCCAAGCAGGAGAAGCGGUGAGUGUGGGGGAGACCCCAGAUGCUGCCCCAGACCCUCACCCCGUGCCCUGCCCCUGCCUGCGCUGGGCAGCCCUGACGGCCAGCCAAGGGGGGUGCUGCCUGCGGGUCCCGCUGGGGUCUGGGGUGCAGCGGGGUCUCUUUCUCCUCCUCUGCAGGGCGAGUGCGGAGGCCUUGAGCCGGAAGCCCCUCUCCCCACGGGCCCCGCUGGCCACCAUGGACUCCAUGACAGACAGAGGCUACUCUUCCUCAGCUUCCUUUACCCUUCCCGGAGGCCUGUCCUGGUGGGAUGGCGGAGCUGGCAGCACUCAACCGCUCAGGACCCCGCCAUCCCCCCAGGGCUGUCAAGGGGAGGGUGGAGGAGCCAGGGCCAGCCCUCUGCCAGGAGCCCCCACAGGAACUGCCAACAAGGACCACGCAAGAGGUCUACUUGACCUCUUGCACAUUUUCAAGGCGUGGGGGGAGAGGCAGCAGCGCGGCGAGCCCAUGGCCAGACUGCCAUGGCCAGACAGCCCAUGGCGAGAGCCGGCUGCCGGCCGCGCUGCAUCUGCUUCAGAAAUUUCCCCUAAUGGCUGGGAGGUGUGGGGCCGGGAACCCCCUGGGGUGCCCCACUUCUGAUCCAAUAAAAAAGUCAAUAUUUUCUCUA